rnacentral:rRNA from 1 species
AAACUAAAUAGGAUUCCCUUAGUAAUGGCGAAUGAACAGGGAUAAGCUCAACUUGGAAAUUGUGGCCUCUGGCUGCGAAUUGUAAUCUCAAGAUGCAUUGCUAAUGGAGGCGCAGGUGUAAGCCUCUUGGAAAAGAGCAUCAGUGAGGGUGAGAAUCCUGUUUGUCACUUGCAGACCUCCAUGCACGGCGUGCAUUCUAAGAGUCACGUUCCUCGGGACUGGAGCGCAAAUUGGGUGGUAAAUUUCAUCUCAAGCUAAAUACGGGAUCGAAACCGAUAGCAAACAAGUACCAUGAGGGAAAGAUGAAAAGGACUUUGAAAAGAGAGUUAAAAGUGCCUGAACUCGCUGAAAGGAAAGCGGAUGGAACCAGUCGUGCUUGGCGAGAUUGUUGCGUGCAAAGGUGACUGCUCAUUUGUUGCAGCGUAAGCGCAGCAGCGGGUUUCGAUCUGGUCGCGCGCGAUGCUUCUUGCCUUGUUCGUCAUCGUUGGUUUGGGGGCGCGGACAACUCUUGGGACAUGGUAACUUGCCCACGGGUGAGCGAAUGUGCCUUGCAGAACUCACCUCCAAACUGAUGUCUCUUGUUAGGUUCUGUUGCCGUAUACGGCACGUUCUUGACAAAGCGUGGUGACAGAAUGGUUCUAUUCGACCCGUCUUGAAACACGGACCAAGGAGUCUAACAUAUGUGCAAGUACUUGGGUGGCGAAACCUAUGUGCGCAAUGAAAGUGAGUGCUGAGAUGCUUGCAUCAGCAGCCGACCAAUCAAUUGGGAGAGGUUUGAGCAUGAGCAUAUCUGUUAGGACCCGAAAGAUGGUGAACYAUGCCUGAGAAGGGUGAAGUCUGGGGAAACUCAGA